UCUCGAUAGCGUAAAAGUUAACUCAAAUUUGCAAGGAGCUGAAACGACUGCCUAAGUUUACCGCUAGGAGCGCUGUUCCAACUGCAUACAAAUUUGGGAUAACUUUUACGCUAUCGA
rnacentral:pre_miRNA from 9 species